GGAUUUCAGGUAAUUGGUGCAUAACUUGCAGUAAAAGUUUAGGCUAGGUGUGCCAAAGUAUAUAUUUCGAACACAAACCUGGACUAGUUAGAGAUCUACAUUCCAUUGUAUUUAGCUGUUGCACUAUAUCAGUUUUUAAAUGUAAGACAUCUUUUCCAUUGUUUGAUUAAAAAUUUCCUUUGACUUGCAGGCUCUUUUUGUGCUCCUCCUC
rnacentral:misc_RNA from 1 species